rnacentral:rRNA from 1 species
GUAUGCUGGAGGUAUCAGAAGUGCGAAUGCUGACAUAAGUAACGAUAAAGCGGGUGAAAAGCCCGCUCGCCGGAAGACCAAGGGUUCCUGUCCAACGUUAAUCGGGGCAGGGUGAGUCGACCCCUAAGGCGAGGCCGAAAGGCGUAGUCGAUGGGAAACAGGUUAAUAUUCCUGUACUUGGUGUUACUGCGAAGGGGGGACGGAGAAGGCUAUGUUGGCCGGGCGACGGUUGUCCCGGUUUAAGCGUGUAGGCUGGUUUUCCAGGCAAAUCCGGAAAAUCAAGGCUGAGGCGUGAUGACGAGGCACUACGGUGCUGAAGCAACAAAUGCCCUGCUUCCAGGAAAAGCCUCUAAGCAUCAGGUAACAUCAAAUCGUACCCCAAACCGACACAGGUGGUCAGGUAGAGAAUACCAAGGCGCUUGAGAGAACUCGGGUGAAGGAACUAGGCAAAAUGGUGCCGUAACUUCGGGAGAAGGCACGCUGAUAUGUAGGUGAAGCGACUUGCUCGUGGAGCUGAAAUCAGUCGAAGAUACCAGCUGGCUGCAACUGUUUAUUAAAAACACAGCACUGUGCAAACACGAAAGUGGACGUAUACGGUGUGACGCCUGCCCGGUGCCGGAAGGUUAAUUGAUGGGGUUAGCGCAAGCGAAGCUCUUGAUCGAAGCCCCGGUAAACGGCGGCCGUAACUAUAACGGUCCUAAGGUAGCGAAAUUCCUUGUCGGGUAAGUUCCGACCUGCACGAAUGGCGUAAUGAUGGCCAGGCUGUCUCCACCCGAGACUCAGUGAAAUUGAACUCGCUGUGAAGAUGCAGUGUACCCGCGGCAAGACGGAAAGACCCCGUGAACCUUUACUAUAGCUUGACACUGAACAUUGAGCCUUGAUGUGUAGGAUAGGUGGGAGGCUUUGAAGUGUGGACGCCAGUCUGCAUGGAGCCGACCUUGAAAUACCACCCUUUAAUGUUUGAUGUUCUAACGUUGACCCGUAAUCCGGGUUGCGGACAGUGUCUGGUGGGUAGUUUGACUGGGGCGGUCUCCUCCUAAAGAGUAACGGAGGAGCACGAAGGUUGGCUAAUCCUGGUCGGACAUCAGGAGGUUAGUGCAAUGGCAUAAGCCAGCUUGACUGCGAGCGUGACGGCGCGAGCAGGUGCGAAAGCAGGUCAUAGUGAUCCGGUGGUUCUGAAUGGAAGGGCCAUCGCUCAACGGAUAAAAGGUACUCCGGGGAUAACAGGCUGAUACCGCCCAAGAGUUCAUAUCGACGGCGGUGUUUGGCACCUCGAUGUCGGCUCAUCACAUCCUGGGGCUGAAGUAGGUCCCAAGGGUAUGGCUGUUCGCCAUUUAAAGUGGUACGCGAGCUGGGUUUAGAACGUCGUGAGACAGUUCGGUCCCUAUCUGCCGUGGGCGCUGGAGAACUGAGGGGGGCUGCUCCUAGUACGAGAGGACCGGAGUGGACGCAUCACUGGUGUUCGGGUUGUCAUGCCAAUGGCACUGCCCGGUAGCUAAAUGCGGAAGAGAUAAGUGCUGAAAGCAUCUAAGCACGAAACUUGCCCCGAGAUGAGUUCUCCCUGACCCUUUAAGGGUCCUGAAGGAACGUUGAAGACGACGACGUUGAUAGGCCGGGUGUGUAAGCGCAGCGAUGCGUUGAGCUAACCGGUACUAAUGAACCGUGAGGCUUAACCUUACAACGCCGAAG